AGUCAUUGUGCAUCUAAGGUUAUCUGAGGUCUCUCGCUCUCUCUCUCUCUUAAACUCACUCACUAUACGUCACCCCUUCCCACCUCCAUAACUUCCAUAUAGUGCACAACUUUUCAUCCCCUUUCGACGGGGGGCGAGAGCCGGCACCACGCAGCAGCUACUCCGCACGCUCGUUCAUAUACAUAUAUAUUAUAAUAUAUGAAUACAAAAAGGGUCACGCGUUCUCGUCUCCUCGUACGCGGACUGUCCUUAUAUUAUCAUAUUGCUAUAAAUAUAUAUACGCUAUCAUCGGUAUUGUCAUAAAAAAUAACGCUCAUGAGUUAUGACGAUAACAAAAAUGCUGCAAAAGUCUUUUUCAUGAAAUGUAUAAAAUACUUACUUCUAAGUUAUAAAUUAUAUAUUAAGUAUGUGCGUAUAUUAUUUUAUAUCAUUAUGUUUAAUUUUUUCUGAAAUCGGGAUGCGCCGUCACGUCGACCUUUAUAUUAUUAUUUUUUUUUUCACGGCACAUUGUGCAUUUUUUAACUACGGGUAUAGCGAGAGUCGGAAUAGAAAGGCUUUGGGCUAACAUAUACACCUUUCGUCCUAAUAAUAUUAUGUAUUCUUAUUAUGCCACUCUCUUUAUGUGCAUGCAUAAACACAAUGCUGUAUUAGUGCGCGCUGCGACUGAGAAAUAUUACUCGUUGUCGGUCGUCGUAUAAUCGUCGCGGGGGAUACGCGUUACUCACGUGCAUUACAAUAAUAUCGGUAGACUGCAUAGGUACCUAUAUGAUAUAAAUAUAUCUACGACGUACGUGAGAAACAAGCGUUCAUUAUUAUUAUUAUUAUUAUUGCCGCCGGCUGCAGGGACGUGCAUAUAUUUGCAUGUCGAAGGGUCAAAAGACCGCGGCGUCGUCGUCAUUUCGUAUGUAUAGUUACAGGCUACAGUCGUCUACACGGAGCACUGCGAGAUUCAGUUUCAAUUCGCGUCUCGGAUAAUAAUAUUAUAAUAUUCUAUAACGAUCAUAAUAUUGUAAAUUAAAGUAAAAAUAUCUUAUAUUGAUUGCUAUAUAUUCGCUAAUUCAUGUUAAAUAUAAGGUAUCUAUUUAUAAUAAUCAUGACAAUGUGAGUAACAUAGUUUGUAUCACUCUGUAUAUAAAAGCGCAUUCACCUAUAUACGAUAUUACGUGAAGCGUGUGUUGUACGGGAUUGUAUCUGACGCCUACACGCCGUGCAUUUCAAAAUAUAUUGCAGUAGUCGGACAAUCGCGAUCGAAUUUCAGUUAUUACAUUGAAUGCGUCUCGAAGAAGCCGUAUACACGGAAACACCUUGCAGGGACGUUCGUCGGUUAUCGAAUAACGCACAUGUGCACAACCAAACUGCAUGUAAUACACUCCAAUACAUAAAUACGUAACAUACGAAGUGCAUAUUUUAAUAUUCUGAUGAUAAUGAUAAUAAUUAUAAUUUAAUAAUAAAAGUUUGUCAACUAUUUUCAGUAUCGAAAUAACUGUAAUUCGAAAUGUAUAUCCUCUCCCUUAAACGAUUGAUGUCAGUCGGAGUCAGCGGAGAAAAAUUAUUGACGGGAAAAAAUAAUUAAUGAAAAUGUAAAAUUUGCAGUGGCAACAAAAACGAAAUCGGUAUAAUAUGUACUAUAUGUUUCUAUAGAGCUAAUUUUAUAAAGUUUCCUUACAUUAAUUUUUGCACAUCAUCUAGUAUCAAAACUAUUAAUCAAACAACUAUGUAAUAAAAAUACAACAUUCGCAUUUGUAUUAAUUGAGGAAUCUAGUCCCUCAAAAACUCUCUAAAACUUCAAUAUAAACUUUUUUUGAUAUAAUUAAUUGGAACUCGAGUUUCCUUAAACGAUUAAGAUUUAAGAUAAUAAUAUGACGUUACUAUACAUUUAUUAUUGAAUGUAUAUUAUUUAUUAUAGAAGUAGUGUUAAUAGUAGUACUUAUAGUUCAAAAGUAGUAUUUUGUAUUAUUUAUAAUAUUAUUACGGUGGUUUUAUUUGUUGUGGUUUUUGUAGAGCUCAUCCCAUCAAUGCGAUACCAUCUCUGACUCGUUUGACUAAUUAUUUUAAUUACUAAAAAUCAUAGCUCAUAUGAUAAUAAUAUAGGACGUAUACUGUAGUCACACGCUUGCAAAUGUUCAUCAGCUGCAACAGCCGUUCGUAAUAAAAAAUACGAUAUGAUGUAUUAUUAUUAUUAUAACUCUCGAGACACACGCAGAGCAGUCACAUAUUAUACUGUGUACACUGUUGUGCAACAAGCGCUUUCAAUCCACCAGGAAAAGAUAUUUGGUUGGAACGCAAGAAAGAGACGAAUUUUUUGCCUUCCUUAAUAAUGCUCGCGCGACCACCGGAGAGAUCGUCGUCGCCACUGCCGCACACGUGUACCACAAAUGUCAGCGGGAGGGCUAUACGGGUCUGUUUUUUUUCGCUCUUGUCUUUUAUUGUGAUGGCAUUUUUUCAGACGAUUAAUCGUCAUUACUCACACGCACGCAGAGAAAACACGAGAUUUAGUGAUGUUCUCAGACAAUGUUAUAUUGUAUGUGUAUUUUUAUAAUGAUUUUUUUAUGCAUCCUUGUUUCAUAGUUUUUUAAUAAUGUAUUCCCCGAAUUUCGGUUUUUUGAAUUUUUCAUGAUACCUAAAGAUCGCAUUUUCAACACUAUUGAUUAAACUAUUUAAUACUUGUCCUCAUAUGGUAAUAAAACUCUGCAUAUCGUCAAACUAGAGUUAACAUUUUUUUAUAUCGAUGUAUUGAAUUUAAAUAAAUUUUUUUAGUGUAAAUGUAAAUAGAUACAACAGAUAAUAAUUAAUAUUUAAG